UUGCACUAGUUUUGUGUGCCUCUCUAAUUCCAAUAGUGUGGCCUUGAGCUAGGGUGCAUAGAGGAAAAGCUGUUUUUAUCAGCAGUGGCCAGACAACCAUAGAGAUGAAUCCACAGAUAAGUGAUUGAAAAUGUCACUUGCCUACUGAUUUCAUCUCACAUCU